CGUAGGUCGCCAGUGCUUCCGGGUUGCGGUCAUUUUGAGCCCGUAUUUGGGUGACUUCUUGGAGGCCGAGUGGCUGUUUGCUCCCCACCCCCAACGCCGCCGUGGUGUUGCGUACCUGACUGCUUCCGCACGGUUUUCUUCCUCUUUGACCCCUCUCGGGUCCCCUCCAGACCUUCUAUCCUCGAUCGCCCCUGCUCGCCGCGCCGUCGCUCGCCGCUAUUGUCCGGAGGAAAAAUGAAUGGGAGGGCUGAUUUUCGGGAGCCGAAUGCAGAAGUUCCAAGACCAAUUCCCCACAUAGGGGCUGAUUACAUUCCAACAGAGGAAGAAAGAAGAGUCUUCGCAGAGUGCAAUGAUGAAAGCUUCUGGUUCAGAUCUGUGCCCUUGGCUGCAACAAGUAUGUUGAUUACUCAAGGAUUAAUUAGUAAAGGAAUCCUUUCAAGUCAUCCCAAAUAUGGUUCCAUCCCUAAACUUAUAUUUGCUUGUAUCAUGGGAUACUUUGCUGGAAAACUUUCUUAUGUGAAAACUUGCCAAGAGAAGUUCAAAAAUCUUGAGAAUUCCCCUCUUGGAGAAGCUUUACGCUCAGGACAGGCACGGCGAUCUUCACCAUCUGGGCACUAUUCUCAGAAGUCAAAAUACGACUCAGAUUUGAGUGGUCAUUCAUCUUUUGUGACGUCUCCAGCAGCAGACAACAUAGAAAAAGAGAUGCUUCCUCAUUAUGAGCCAAUUCCAUUCAGUGCUUCUAUGAAUGAAUCUACUCCCACUGGUAUUACUGAUCAUAUUGCCCAAGGUAGAAACUUCUCUUGAAAUGAGUUUCAGCAUUAUAUGGUCCAACGUAUGUAUAAACUUUAUUUGAUGACCUUUUCUGCUGGAUAUCACCUGUAUGUUCCACCAUCAGCCUAAACUCAGCAUGUUUGUUCAUCUGGUUCUUCAUUCAUUCAACAUUUUUUGACUUCCAGUAGGUGUCAGGCACUCAGCUAGGUAUGAAAGAGGUAUAGAUGAAUAAGACCUGAUUCUUGUCCUUGAGAAACUCUCUUAGACUGUUAGAAGAUACAGAGAUAUAAGGAAAAAUUACUAAUAUGUCCCAUUAAUCAAAAAUACUAACAAAGUUUAAUGAUUAUUGCAAAGAAGUGGUAAAUUGGGCCAUGGGGAGGCUUCAGAGAGGUUACACUUGUUAGGCUGGUCUUAAAGGCUUUCAGCUUUUUUGUAAUGUGAGAAAAAUAAUAAUUACCUGCCUUACAGAACUCUUGUCAAGUGAGAAAAUCCAUGUGAAAAUGCUUUGUGAAGUUUGUGUAAAUACUAGCUUUGAAGAUCGCAGAAUUCAAAGUAAACAAAUAUGGAGAUACUUGGGAUGAGUGAAAAAUUGCAUCAUUGGACCUACUGCAGGCGUUCAGUCUCCAGCUUCAUCUGGGUGGUCACGAAUAUCUGCAUGCUUUGAGCUCAGCAGCAGUCUUCAUAAACAUUUAAAACCAGAACCUGGGUUCUUGUGGUUUGGCUUAUUAAAAUGAUGUUUAAAAACACAGAUUUUAAUGUGAAUGUUGUGUGAAUAUAUUCACCUUGAGGAGCUAUACAAAUGAUGGUAUUAUACCAUGAUCACAGUUUGUGAAAUCGUUUUAAGUUACAGGGUAAGGAUACUCUCUUAUGAAACUAUAAAGAGAUUGUAUAUUCUAGGAUCAGCAUAUAUGAAAAUAAAUACCUGCAUGUUGAAUUGGGGUGGGUGGGGGGAGCAAGCAUAAUUUUAAGUGUUAAGCUUUACAUCCAAAAAUUAUUAAAAAAGCCUUUCUCCGGUGUUUGUUGUAUUCACUUAUUAACGUUUAUGGUAAAUAAAACAUGACGGAACAUGCAA